GAUUAGCAUCUCCGCCGUGACAGCACAAUCUCCAGCUUCUUCACUCGUUUUCUUCUUCAACAAUGUUGACAUUCUCACAUCCACUCAUCUCUAACCAUCAAGGUUCAAUCAAGGAUACAAUUCCAACAAACAACCUCCGGAUCUCCGACGGCGUCUUCUUCCCACACAAACGACGGCGGUCUCAACAAACGUAAGAUUAUCUCAAACAAGAUCAGAUCGUUGGAGAAACUUAUGCCAUGGGAAAGAAAAAUGAGUUUAGCAAUGAUUCUAAAAGAAUCGAAUUUGAUUACAGGUCGAGAUGGUGUUGAUGGGAUAUGCUCUCAUUUUUUUAAUUUGAUUGAAUGUGGUCUUGAUUGUUUUAAAAAGUAGUGAAUUUGCUUUACAUUUUGAUUUGAAUCAUCAAGAUCCACCUUUGUGUUGAUUUGAUUUGUUAAUUACGGACAAAUUUGUGUCUAUGAUGUGGCUCUGUUUGUGGUUUACCAUUGGGGUUUCGGCACUAUGAAGCUAAAUUUUUUUUUUUA